rnacentral:rRNA from 1 species
UACGAAGGGGCGAAGCGUUGUUCGGAAUUACUGGGCGUAAAGGGCGCGUAGGCGGUCUAUCAAGUCAGGCGUGAAAUUCCCGGGCUCAACCUGGGGUCUGCGCUUGAUACUGAUGGACUUGAAUGCGGGAGAGGAUAGUGGAAUUCCUAGUGUAGAGGUGAAAUUCGUAGAUAUUGGGAAGAACACCAGUGGCGAAGGCGGCUAUCUGGCCCGUGAUUGACGCUGAGGCGCGAAAGCGUGGGGAGCAAACAGGAUUAGAAACCCCCUGU